AAAUUAAAAUUUGGUUUGUUUGAAAAACUCCCAUUAAAUUUUUUUAUGAAAAUUUUUAAAAAAAAGGGAAACAGAAAAUUUAAUUUUAUUAAUAAUAAAAAAUUAUUAAGAUUUAAUAAAUUUUCUAGCUCACUUUGUGCCAGCAGCAGCGGUUAUACAAAGAGAAAAAUUUUUUUUUAUAAUUAUAUAAAUAAUCUAAAUACAUUAUACAAUUAUUAAAAUAAUAAGGUGAAAUUUUUUUUUUUAAAUAUUAUAAAAUAUUAUAAAAAUUCUAUAAAACUAAACAAGGAUUAGAUACCCUUUUAUUUGGAACUGAAUAUUGUUAGUAAACAAAAAGUGCGAAAACAAAAAAUCAUGGCGGUAUUUUUAACUUUUCAGAGGAAUUUGCUCUUUCAUGGAUAAAACACCUAAAUCUUACUAAAAUUAGCAAGAUCAGUUUGUAUACCACUAUUUAAGUAAUACUUUAUAUUUACUACUUUUAUUUUUUAAAAUCAAAAAAUAAAUUAAGUCAAGGUGCAGCAAAAAAUUUUAGAGUGAAGUGAAUUACAUUUCUUUUUAGAGAAAAAAAUGAAAUUAAUUUUAAGGAUUUGAAAGUAAAUUUUUAAUAAAAUGAUAUAUUGAAGAAAGUUCAAAAAUAUGUACAUAUCGCCCGUCACUCUUUGCAAAAGAUAAGUCGUAACAAAGUUAAAAUACUGGAAAGUGUUUU
rnacentral:ncRNA from 1 species